GACGGAGGGUGCUAGCGUUGUUCGGAAUCACUGGCGUAAAGGCGCGUAGGCGGCCACUGCAAGUCAGCUGUGAAAUCUCCGGGCUUAACUCGGAAAGGUCAGCUGAUACUGCAGGGCUAGAGUGCAGAAGGGCAACUGGAAUUCUCGGUGUAGCGGUGAAAUGCGUAGAUAUCGAGAGGAACACCUGCGGCGAAGGCGGGUUGCUGGGCUGACACUGACGCUGAAGCGCGAAAGCGUGGGAGCGAACAGG
rnacentral:rRNA from 1 species